rnacentral:rRNA from 1 species
GAUGAACGCUGGCGGCGUGCCUAAUACAUGCAAGUCGAGCGAACGGACGAGAAGCUUGCUUCUCUGAUGUUAGCGGCGGACGGGUGAGUAACACGUGGAUAACCUACCUAUAAGACUGGGAUAACUUCGGGAAACCGGAGCUAAUACCGGAUAAUAUUUUGAACCGCAUGGUUCAAAAGUGAAAGACGGUCUUGCUGUCACUUAUAGAUGGAUCCGCGCUGCAUUAGCUAGUUGGUAAGGUAACGGCUUACCAAGGCAACGAUGCAUAGCCGACCUGAGAGGGGGAUCGGCCACACUGGAACUGAGACACGGUCCAGACUCCUACGGGAGGCAGCAGUAGGGAAUCUGCCGCAAUGGGCGAAAGCCUGACGGAGCAACGCCGCGUGAGUGAUGAAGGUCUUCGGAUCGUAAAACUCUGUUAUUAGGGAAGAACAUAUUUGUAAGUAACUGUGCACAUCUUGACGGUACCUAAUCAGAAAGCCACGGCUAACUACGUG